UGGGUUGUGACUCAGCUGUAGAGUGCUCGUCUGGAAUGUGAGAGGCCCUGGGUUUGAUCCUCAGCACCACAU
rnacentral:tRNA from 1 species